CACCCACUUCCGGGGACGCCGUGGAGUAGGCGCAGCGGCCAGCUGGUGCGGUGUGGUUUGUGCAUGCUGUGGGGAGCCAAGCGGGCUCGCAGACCACCGACGCCUCCAGGACCUCCCAGAGACCCCCUGUCGCCCCCCAGAACCCGACCCGUCGUCCCUUCAGGACGGGCCGUCGUACCUCAGAACCCGGCCUGUCGUCCCUUCAGGACCGGGCGGUUGUACCUCAGAACCCGGCCUGUCGGCCCUUCAGGACCCGCCCGCCAGCCUUGGGUUCUUAGGACGUAGGCUCCGCAGCUGGCAUGGAGCCAAAACAGUUCUCGAACUCAAAUAAUGAGAUGAAGACCUGGCCCAAGAUCAAGAGUCAGAACUUAACCAACUGAGCCACCCAGUGCCCCCUAAUAAAAAUAUCUCACAGAUCUUGAGUGUCAGUAGAAACAGCUAAAUGCAAGGGACCAAGGAACAGAGCCAGUGGCCCCCAGAAAAAGCAGGAAGAGUCAGUGCUGGUGAUUAUUCAUGAGAACGGACAGGUGCCUGCCCCGGUGCUCAGACACAAAAGCCAGGUAAUGAACGGGCUUCACAGCGUGUUCCCAGGUAGGUAAUAAUGUCAGUCACCCAAGUGUCAAAGGAAGACAGCGCCAUGAAGAGUCAAUCCUUCAUUUCUGGAUGAUAAAAUUUCUAGAGGCCUUUUUAAUUUUUGUGCAAUGCUAAUAAGGCACGGCGUGUGAGUGGCUUCGCUGGUGAAGUGUCUGCCUUCAGUUCAGGUCAUGAUCCCAGGACCAAGCC